ensembl:lncRNA
UACAAUUUUUUUUACUGUUGAUGAUAUUUGUUUGUUCUGAUUGUAUUUUAUUUGCUUUAUUAUGAUUAUUUGGGCUUGGCCCCAUGUUAGCAUCCCUGAGUCCCUACGGGGAGAUGGAGGUGGGAUAUAAAAAUAAAGUUGUUGUUGUUGUUGUUGUUGUUGUUGUUGUUGUUGUUGUUGGGAGAGUUCAGGCCUGCUUUACUUUAAGAUCCAUUUCUUUGUCAUGUUGGCAGUCCAUGGUAUCUGUAGAGCAAUCCUCCAGCAGCAUAUUUUAAAUGAAUUGAUUCUUUUCCUCUCAGUUUUCUUCACUGUAGAGCUCUCAUCAUGAUACAUACAAAUUGGAAAUACUAUGGGAUUGAUGAGACCAUCUUUAUACUUGAGCAUCUCAUCUAGUUUUGUUAUAGCUGCUCUUCCAAGUCCUCAUCUUUUUCUGAUUUCUUGACUAUAGUUUUCAUUUUGAUUAAUGACUUAGCUUUUCCGUAUCAGAAGCGACUUGAGAAACUGCAACUCACUUCUGGUAUGAGAUAAUUGGUCAUCUGCAAGGAUGUUGCCCAGGUGACACCCCGGAUAUUUUGAUGUGUUAUUAUUCUUGUGGGAGGCUUUUUUCAUGUCCCCACAUGGGGAGCUGGAGCUGACAGAGGGAGCUCAUCCGCAUACUCUCCAGAUUCGAACCAGCAACCUUCAGGUCAGCAACCCAGCCUUCAGGUUAGCAGUCCUGCCAGCACAAGGGUUUAACCCAUUGCGCCACCAGGGACUCCUUAGCUAAUGUAUAGAAAAUCUAACUACUGUAUUUCAGUGUUUCCAUCCCCCAUGUUAAAGUUAAUAAUUGGUGGUUGUUUUUUUUGUUUUUUUGAAUCUUAUAAAUAACCCUGCAUUUCCACUUACUUUGUUCAUUUUCUUCAAAAGUUAUUAAAAGUCUUUACUAUUUUCUCCUAGUAAUAUGGUGUCUUAUGAAUAUUUUAAUUUACUAAUGUUUCUUCCUCCAAUGUUCACGCCUCCUUCCUCCAAGACUAAUACUGUUUUCAUGUAUGAUGUGUCAUGCAUAUAAAUUAAACAGAUAGGGUGAUACAUUUUUGCCUUGUCUGACCUCAUUGACAAGGAAAUUCACUAGAAGAAUGUGGUCACAGCCCACAGGAGCCAGAUUAAGCACAGAUGUGUAUCUUUUCAGGUGACUUUCUCUUCCCUUCCUUACCCACAAGUCAUCAUUUCACAUGCUCUAUCUGUUUGUUAUAUCCUUGCACACUAGCAGGAUAAUAAACCCCGCCAUUUGGAUUUUUGACCAAUGGCUAUCAUUAGGUGAUAAAGAGAAAUAACUUUUUUCUUAUUUUUAUAUUAUUGAUCAUCAUAUCUACCAAAAAGCAAACAUGUCAAAGAAUAUUCAAAAAUAUUUGUCAAAUAGUAGGAAAAGCCAUAGCACAACUGUUUUUUGACUCUUGAGAAACCUUGACUAAUAGUAGAUAAAGUAAAGGUUUCCUCUGAUGUUAAGUCCAGUCAUGUCUCAUCUCCAUUUCUAAGCCGAAGAGCCGGUGUUGUCCGUAGACACCUCCAAGGU